CAGUAGCCACGGGAAUACGGAGGGUGCAAGCGUUAAUCGGAAUUACUGGGCGUAAAGCGCACGCAGGCGGUCUGUCAAGUCGGAUGUGAAAUCCCCGGGCUCAACCUGGGAACUGCAUUCGAAACUGGCAGGCUAGAGUCUUGUAGAGGGGGGUAGAAUUCCAGGUGUAGCGGUGAAAUGCGUAGAGAUCUGGAGGAAUACCGAUGGCGAAGGCAGCCAUCUGGCCUAAUACUGACGCUGAGGUACGAAAGCAUGGGGAGCAAACAGGAUUAGAUACCCCGGUAGUCCCUGUCUCUUAUAC
rnacentral:rRNA from 1 species